rnacentral:rRNA from 1 species
AUUCCAGCUCCAAUAGCGUAUAUUUAAGUUGUUGCAGUUAAAAAGCUCGUAGUUGGAUUUUGGGUCGGGGGUACCGGUCCGGUGUUUCACUGUGCACUGGUCUCCCCUUCCUUUCUGCCGGGGACGGCGUUUGCUCUUUACUGAGCGGCGUCGGAGUCGGCGUUGUUACUUUGAAAAAAUUAGAGUGUUCAAAGCAAGCCAUCGCUCUGAAUACAUUAGCAUGGAAUAACAUGAUAGGACUCCGGUCUUAUUUUGUUGGUUUCCGAGACUGGAGUAAUGAUUAAGAGGGACAGUCGGGGGCAUCCGUAUUUCAUUGUCAGAGGUGAAAUUCUUGGAUUUAUGAAAGACGAACUUCUGCGAAAGCAUUUGCCAAGGAUGUUUUCAUUG